rnacentral:rRNA from 1 species
UGAAGCUGGAAUUGCUAGUAAUGGCAGGUCAGCAUACCGCCGUGAAUACGUUCCCGGGCCUUGUACACACCGCCCGUCACACCAUGAGAGUUGGAAAUACCCGAAGCCUGUGAGCUAACAGUAAUGAGGCAGCAGUCGAAGGUAGAGCCAAUGAUUGGGGUGAAGUCGUAACAAGGUAUC